GGAUGUGAGGGUGAUUGGGCUGUGACGUCUGUCACCCCAGUGAUCGCCAGGGUUGAUUUGGCCAAUCUGGCUGUUUAGGCAGGUGUCCCCUCCAUCCCUCACCACUCCGUGUUUGCCCUCCCGAAGCUGCACUCGGUCGAGGCCCACUCAGAGAGAGACUGUAAAAACAAAGCUCUCAAGGAAAAGGACCGUACCGUGGGUAUGAUGCUUGCCUUGCAUCCUGUGCCAUCUC
ensembl:misc_RNA 7SK 7SK RNA